rnacentral:rRNA from 1 species
GCGGCGGACGGGUGAGUAACGCGUGGGUAACCUACCUCGUAGUUCGGGAUAACAGGCCGAAAGGCUUGCUAAUACCGGAUGAGUUCAUGCUUAUGCAUAUAGGCAUGAAGAAAGGGCUAGCCCGCUAUGAGAUGAGCCCGCGUCCCAUUAGCUUGUUGGUGGGGUAAUGGCCUACCAAGGCAACGAUGGGUAGCCGGCCUGAGAGGGUGUACGGCCACACUGGGACUGAGACACGGCCCAGACUCCUACGGGGGGCAGCAGUAGGGAAUUUUCGGCAAUGGGCGAAAGCCUGACCGAGCGACGCCGCGUGAGGGACGAAGGCCUUCGGGUUGUAAACCUCUGUCUGGGGGGAUGAGAACGGACGGUACCCCCGGAGGAAGCCCCGGCUAACUACGUGCCAGCAGCCGCGGUAAUACGUAGGGGGCUAGCGUUGUCCGGAAUUACUGGGCGUAAAGGGCGUGUAGGCGGUCGUGCAAGUCGGUUGUGAAAGUCUAGG